rnacentral:rRNA from 1 species
AUGGCGUCGGCGCCGGGGCAGUGGGCGUGGAUGGCCGCGGUUGCGGCGGAGGAGCUGGCGAAGCUGGAGGCCGCGCACCCGGGCCGCCUCGGCCCGCUCAAGGACGAGCUCAGGCGCCUCGUCUCCAAGCCCGGCUGGGACGACGACGACGCGUUCGCGCUCGCCUGCCUGGACGGCGGCGCCCCCACCGGCUGCUCCUCCCCGUCCUCCUCGUCCCACCCUGCUGCGCCCGCGGACCUUAUGUUCACGCAAGAGUCCUCGACCAACAAGAGGAAGUGGUGCGGCGGCGGCGGCGCGGCCGGCCUCGAGCAGGGGAAGCGCCGGAGGAAGAAUGCGGCUUCGGGGGUGAAGGACCGGGCGGACAUGGCCAUCGACCGCGCCAAGAAGUGCCUGAAGAAGAUACGCGCCAUCAAGCGGAGCUUGCUUGCCUGUGUCACGGAUUGA